UUAAGUUUUAUUGCUAUUGCUUUCUUCAUGACUUAUACACACUACUAGAAACUACGAUUUUACCUAAGGCCAAGGUCUUUACCUAGAGCUCAUUUGCCUCCUCAAGGGAAAGAAAAGCUAUGAACAGUAUACUCUAGGGGAAGAUGAAUUUCCAUGUGAAAAUAAAAGGAAAAUAAUGUUUCCCCACAAGUUGUUUUCUCCCCCUAGGUAAAGACAGCCACGUUGACAGCACUGGACAAAAUAAAAGCACCUAUACGGCCCCACUGUUGCCGCGAGGAUGGCCUCCCGCCCAUUUUUUUCAUCAGCGCGCUCUAUUAUUUCAUUUAUUUGGCGGCCUACGCCAUAUUUCGGUGCGGGCCCACUACACAGUGAGAAGGGCAGAAAGAGGUGGUUGUCCGCAUUUGGUCUUCUUCUCCCUCUCUCCCGAAGAUGAGCGCCGCGCCGCCGCCCAACCCUCUCCCUCCUCCCUUCCUAGAUCUGCGCCCCGGCACGCCCCGCCUUCCCUUCCCCCUGUCGAUCCCUAGCCUAACCACCAUUGCGGGGCCGACCGUGGUGACCAUGCCGCGCCGUCCAUAGUCACAGCACCGCGCCCGCCGGUCCAGAUGGCCGGGUUGCGACGGCCGUGUGACCUCGCAUCAUGGUGACCGUGCUAUCCCCUGUCGAUUUUAUGGACACUAGACCUACCGUCGUCUUACCCUGUCCAGACCAAAGUCGCCCUCUCAUCUGAAGCCGGUCUAGAUCUUGAUGUCUGACCGGUUCCCAGGUGGGCGUCCAUGUGCGUGUCCCUGUUCAACCGCUCCGACGGCCAGCUGCCCAGAAGUUCCUCUGCUUCCUCUUCGAUUGGCAGCCAAACGGCACACAACUGCGAGCAUGGUAGCGUGUGAAGUACGAGGCUGAUAAUUGAUAGGUACAAGACGGUCUUUGCAAGACAUCAGGCUCUACUCCAGCUAUUGAUAUCCAUUUUCAGGUGAAAAGAAAUGUCUAAGAUGGUAAUUAAUAUCCAAGGUUAUGUUUCGGGGAACAAUUUGUUGUCGAAAACAUUCCUGCUUAAUUUGUGAUCAUGUGGAGCACAUUUGAUUUAGUACAAAAUACAGGUCACGGGUUCUGAAAGUUCUAUCGGACGAACCAAUGCUCGUGCAAUAUAGUUGUAUUACUGUUACAGAUGUGAUUGUCUUUGUUGUAGACUUAACACGAUUUUAAAUAGCAAAACUGAAGUAGCUAGCUAAGUAUGCAUAGUUAGCAAACUGACUAGCUAUCUGACAUGUGUUCCCUAUACAUUUAAUGUGCUCUGUUAGCUACUAACUGGUUCCAGCUGAUUUACUUAAUUUUGUACACAAGAAAUACUAUCUUAUUAUAGAUAAAUCGCAAAACAAACGAUAAUCCAAUAUUUGCCCACCCCCUUCUUAUGUAGCUGAUUGGUUCACAGAGAUAACAAUCUUGUCGUCACAACUGCCCUGAAGAACUGUGAAGUGUCAUGGAACUUACAUAUUCCUUUUUUAUACAGAACUGUUGUGUGUUGUAUAAAUACCACAUUAUCUUGCAAUUCUUACAGAGAAUCGUACUUUGCUUUUAUAAAUACAUCAUAGUCCUGCAAGCAGUCAAUUUAACAUCAUUCGGUUGCUAUCAAUCGCAAUGGCAGGGACAUUAUUUAGUUCUAUGUUACUAGCAAGCCAAGUGUACUAUUUUUGUCUAACAGAAUUCAUUCAAGAAGAUAGCAAAACUAUCAUAAACUACAGGUUACAGCUAUCCUAUUUGGGACACUAAGCUAUACACUUAUCCUAUUUUUCUAUUCAGAAUGGCAUACCUUCUCUGUUCAUACAAUAUUCUGCUUAAAUUAGAAUUUUUCGUGCAAGCAAUACAUUUAAUAUUUUACUACGCAAAUCAGUUUCAGUACAAGGGAUAGUAUGUUUUCCUAUGCAUCUGCCAACCAUCACUGCCAUCUAUUUUGUCUAAUUAAUUUUCUUUGUUCUCUCUACAAGGUUUACCUAAUCAGAUGAUAAGGUAAAACAACUCUUCUUGUAUUUCAUAGUCGGCACUCAAGUUGCGACUCGUAGACUAGUAUGUCGACUAGUUGCUCGGCUCGUAAUCAGUGGAGAGAACACAUAGCAUCAUAUGUUUUUCCCAUUAAAUCCUCUAGGGGAAAGGCAUUGUAAGUUUCCAUGUGUUGUGCAGAAGAAGAAAAGUUGGCCGAGCCCAACAGCAAAAUAGCAAUCUUUGUACCUUUGUCUAUUGAUUAGCACAAUGAACUAUAUCAAUGAACUUGAUCAGAUAUUAUUUCCUUGAGACAGAGUUAGUGCAACGAACUAUAUCAAUGAACUCUUUACUUAUCAUUGAAUUAUCUUAUUUGUUUGCAGGAACAUAUUCUUAUGGGUGGUCAUGGUCUGCUCGUUGAUGGGCACAAACAAGUAAUUGAGGCUCUCGCUCAAGGUCUUAAUCAGAGUUGUAGAUACUGUAAAUACUUGGCCUGACCAACUCAAGGUCUUGACACCCCUCUCAAUCAGAGGUGUAAAUACUUGGCCUUACUAGAAUAGCAGAUAAUUAUCCUGACCAACAACACAUGUACAUGUUGACUUAGGUGUUCUGCUAGCUGUACGAAACAUUAGCUAUGUUUCUUCUUGAAUUCUGGCUUGAAAUAGACCAUGAGUCUGUAAUUGAACAAGAAUCUGAUGUGUACAUUGAAUUUUGGUAGCAAUUUAUAAUUUUGAAUUA